CGUCUGAAAAACGUAAAAUAAACAGAACCGUAAAUGUUCUUUUUGUAUAUAAAAAAAAAACUUUGUAGGUGGCUACUACUGGAAUCUUCAAAAUUAUGCACCGACUAAGUUACAUAUUUUUAUUAGAGCCUGGCUAUACUUUAAUUUUUAUUCAUCCCUAGAUCUAGCUUAGUUAUUAAAUGUUGCAGGUCUUAUGGUCUUGUCUAAGGUGCUGCUGCUAUUAUAUUUUAGAGUCACACAGAUUUAGUUAUGUUUUCUAAAUAUUAUAUCAUAGUCACACAGAUACUGCACUGUAGACACACAGAUUUAGUUAUGUUUUCUAAAUAUUAUAUCAUAGUCACACAGAUACUGCACUGUAAACACACAGAUUUAGUUAUGUUUUCUAAAUAUUAUAUCAUAGUCACACAGAUUUUUUUUAUUUUUAUUUUUAGUCACACAGAUACUGCACUGUAGACACACAGAUAUCGUUAACACACAGAUACCGAAGACACACAGAUCACGAUGUCACACAGUUAUCGUCGACACACAGUUAUCAUCGUCACACAGUUAUCAUCGUCACACAGUUAUUGUAGACACACAGAUAUUGUAGACACAGAUAUUGUAGACACACAGAUAUUGUAUUUUAUUCACAUAGAUGUUAUAUUUUAUACACGUGGAUUGUUCUCGUUUUAUUACUUUAUAUUUUAUUUUAAAGUUGCAUUCUAUUUAUUAUUUCUUUCAGAUUAAUUUGUUCGUCUGAUAUUUGUAUUUUUUUAAGCAGUAUGUAAGAGUUCACUAGAUAUUUAGAUUGAAAAGUAAGUUUUCAGUUUAUCAACAAUUGCUUACAUUGUAUUAAAAGGUUUUUAUUUGUAACUGUAAAAUAAUAACACUGUUUUUAUUAACACGAAUUAUUGAACUGCAAUCUAUUGAGUAUUUACUCUUAUCUCUCCAAUGAGAUUAUCUCGGUAACUCAACUUUGCUGUCAGUAGCGGAGGAGCUAUCGGAGACAGAUGAUUUAUGUGGCCGCAAACAAUAAUUUUAUACUAUAUAUCGGUUACGUCACUACAAAAGCACUGUAAAAGAGAACCGAAUAAUAGGCUACAACACUGAGCGCACACAUGCACAAUAUUGUCUUUAAUUCCAUUAUAUAUUUACGAAUAUAUCGUUUUUACACUUCCUGAACACACAACUAGUCAUUGUAGACGAUAUUUAGGUAUUAUUUCUUUAAAUAACGUUCGUUGUUGACCACAACUAACAUUGAGUUGACUAUAAAUUUCCUCUUUUGAGCGCCUCAUUUUUCAUGUGCUAGUAACACAUCUAACAGUAUUUAAUAUCAUUGGUCGCAAAAGCAUCUCUAGGAACGAUGGCAUUACAUUUUUUUUAAAACCAUUGAUGAUUUCUACACAGCUAAUAUUUUGGUUUUAGGACAGGUUUAGCAAACAUAAACUUUGUAAAGGAAUCUAUGACCACAAAUAUAAUGUAAGUAAAAUCAGUACGAGUUUUGAUAAAAGGCUCCAAAUGAUCGGCAUGGACAGUGUGUAUACGGAUUUGUAGUUUUUCUAUAGGGUGUAACGCGCUUUCUAGCUUACCAUAAUUACCCUUUGCAUAGGAGCAUUGCAGACAUGCAUUGAUGUACUUAUGAAUUUUGUCAUACAUAAAAGCCAAAAUUGGUGUUUUUGUAAUAAACUCAUACACACAACAUAAAAUAAGAUUCUUUACCCAAAUCGAAAAUGAUAGACCGUGUUAUAGGUAUACUUUUUUGCUUAUGCACAAAUUAAACAAGUAUAACCUGGCUGUAGUUCCAAAUCAUUACUUAGGAACCUUCCCUAUGAAAUCAUUUGAAUAACGCUAGGUAUUUAUUAAAUCGUGGGUAGACUAUUUUGGAAUUAGUAACUAAUGUCACAGUGUAACCAGUAGUUGGACUUCAUACUAAAGGUCGAAACGCGAGCUAAACCUACGCACCUCGUACGUGGGAUGAUCGUGGGGUGAAGAUCGUUGCGACUGUGCCGCGGUGACGAACGCAGUGUAUUGGAUUUUUUAAUUAUGACGACUAGGAAAAAAGUUAUUAUUUUUAUAAAGUUUGAUUAAUACUUUGUAUUCUAAAGGCAUAAUUUUAAAAAAUAUAUAUA